rfam:Triticum urartu cultivar G1812 contig452760, whole genome shotgun sequence.
CAACUACUCCCUCUAUCCCAAAUUUCUUGUCUUAGAUUUGUCUAGAUACAGAUCUAUCUAAUACUAAAAUGUGACUUGAUAUAUCCUUAUCUAGACAAAUCUAAGACAAGAAUUUUGGGACGGAGGGAGUACUUU